CGCGAGACCGGGUUGCCCGCAUGGUGCGGACACAGCGUUUUGGGCCACUCAGGUCGAUGAUGUAGACGGGGACUCUGCCAAAUUCAAUUCAAGAGCUGCUUCGCGAAGGGAGGGAGCAUUAGGCGAAGAUUUUCCUUAACCUCUGUUGUCUCCUGUAUCUUUCCAGCUCUGUGAACUUCUUUGAGGAAUUGUUUCCAGGGUCUCCAAGUCUCUUCUGGACACAUCACAGAAGGUUCA